rnacentral:rRNA from 1 species
AUGAAGAACUUGAAAGACGCUAAAACCAAGAUUUUUCCCUCAACUACGAGGGGAGGUAAGGAACUGCCAUCUAGCUCUACACUAGAUUCUCCUUCCGUUAUUAGUAGGCUUGCGACACCUAAACCUACUACUGCUAUGAAUUCUGAUAUGUCGCAUGUUAUUGAUGAUGCCACUUCUUCUAUGCACGAUGAAACUACUUCUUUGCGUGAUACUACUGUGCCAUUAGGUGAAUUUCUUGAUGAACAACUUGCUAGAGUUAGGGGGAAUGAAAAUAUUGAAGAACCUAUUAUUGAUGAUAGUGAUGAUGAAGGUUCCCCCAAUGAUUAUGUAUUAUCUAUUGUUCCUAAGGGUUAUGUUAUGAAUGAAGCAGCUGCUAUGGAAAUUUUUGCUUGCAAUGAUAGAAAUGAUCUUAAUAAAUUAUUAGCUAAAUGGAAGCAGCAGUCUCUUAAUGCUAGAAUGAAACCCAAUCCUGCUUUUGCUACUUCACCUAUCUGUGUUACUGAUAAGGAUUAUGAAUUCUCUGUUGAUCCUGAUAUUAUUACUUUAGUUGAAUCUGAUCCUUUUUAUGGCCUUGAAUCUGAAACUGUUGUGGCACAUCUUACCAAGUGGAAUGAUAUAGCCACCCUCUUUACUAAUGAUGAGAAGUCUUGUUAUUUAUACAUCCUUAAGAUAUUUCCGUUCUCAUUAAAGGGUGAUGCUAAGACUUGGUAUAAUUCUCUUGCUCUUGGUUGUGUGUGUAGUCCCCAUGAUAUGAUUUAUUACUUCUCUGCUAAAUAUUUCCCUGCUCAUAAGAAACAAGCUGCCGUGCGGGAAAUAUAUAAUUUUGUGCAAAUCAAAGAAGAGAGUCUCCCACAGGCUUGGUGGAGGCUUCUCCGGUUACUUAAUGCUUUGCCUGAUGAUGCUCUUAAGAAAAAUGAAAUACUUGAUAUCUUUUAUAAUGGACUAACCGAUGCUUCCAAGGACUACUUGGAUAGUUGUGUUGGUUGUGUUUUCAGGGAAAGAACAGUCGACGAAGCUGAAAUACUAUUGAAUAAUAUGUUGACUAAUGAAAAUAAUUGGACUCUUCCCGAGCCAGUUCCUGAAGUAAUUCCUGAACCAAUUGAGCCAACUCCUGAGCCUAUUCCUAAACCCACUCCGAAGAAGAGAGGUGUUUUAUUUCUCAGUCCUGAAGAUAUGCAAGAGGCAAAGAAAUCAAUGAAAGAAAAAUGUAUUAAAGCUGAAGAUGUUAAGAAUUUACCUCCUAUUGAACAAAUACAUGGUCUUAAGAUACCACCUGUUGAAGAACCACAUUGUCUUGAUAACCCGACACAGGUAGUAAAGGUAAAUUCUCUCUAUAGAUAUGACAAAGUUGAAGUCCCCUCUACUAAAUUUCAUAGCCCAUGCUUAGAUGAAUUUGAUGACUUUAUGGCUAGACAAGAAAGUUUCAAGCUUAUGUUGGUAGAGAGUUAA